AAUGCACCUUGCGCCCUCUGGUAUUCCAUGGGGCUUGCCCGUUUGAGUGUUGCGUUUUGUCUUCAACCUCCUGUGGUUGGUUGGACUUGAGCUUGCGGGGCUUUCGCCGCUUGCUUCAAACUCAUUAGCUGGGCAGGCUAUGCCUUGGGCUCGACGUCGUCGGUUGUUGUUUUGUUGAAACCGUCCUGCCCUUGGUUCCUCCUGCUUGCUUCUUUCUGUCUGUCUGAACUCUGACCUCAAAUCGGGUAGGGCUACCCGCUGAACUUAA
rnacentral:misc_RNA from 1 species